rnacentral:rRNA from 1 species
AAACUUUUCAACAACGGAUCUCUUGGUUCUCGCAUCGAUGAAGAACGCAGCGAAAUGCGAUAAG